GCGGGUGUGGUGAAAUUGGUAGACAUACCAGACUUAGGAUCUGGCGGAGCGAUCCAUGGGGGUUCGAGUCCCUCCACCCGCACCA
rnacentral:tRNA from 1 species